rnacentral:misc_RNA from 1 species
GAUGAAGAACGCAGCGAAAUGCGAUAAGUAAUGUGAAUUGCAGAAUUCAGUGAAUCAUCGAAUCUUUGAACGCACCUUGCGCUCCUUGGUAUUCCGAGGAGCAUGCUUGUUUGAGUGUCAUGGUCUUCUCAACCCUUCUGUCUUUUUUGUUAAAGGCAGCUGGGCUUGGACUUGGAGGUCUUGCCGGCGUCCGAAUUUUUAAUUCAGAAGUCGGCUCCUCUGAAAUGCAUUAGCUUGAAUAGAACCAAGCAUGAUUCAGCGUGAUAAUUGUCUACGUUGCUUCAUCUCGGUGAAUUUAAUGUUCGAGCUUCUAACCGUCCCUUGGGACAAUAUCUGAACAUCUGACCUCAAAUCAAGUAGGACUACCCGCUGAACUUAAGCAUAUCAAUAAGCGGAGGA